AAGUUGCUCAACCCCUCUGCCCUCUCUGAGCGCCUCAUGUUGCAAAUUGGUCAAAGCAUUCAGCAUUCUGCAUACUUGAAAUUUUAUAACAAGUAAGCUGAAGAUGGGGGAUAUGUGAUGCAAGGUUUGAUGAUCUGCUGAUUGGGGGGUUGUCCCCAACUUCCUGUGAGGAGCGUGACUUGUCAAUGGGCAUCUAGCAGCGGUUCUCUCCCCAUGCAAUGGCAGCGAGUUCACCGGGCCGCAGACACCAUUCCUUCGGCUGUGGUUCAGAUGGACGACGGUGGCAGCUUAGUGCGAAACUUUGGCCCAUUGUUUGGUGUUGGUGCCGUUGAGAUUAAUUGAUCCUGAAAGUGGCAAAGGCAUGGAGGAGAGAAGUGCCAUGGGGGAGCAGAAAUUUGGAAGCACUGGAUAAAAGAAAUGGCAAGACUUGCUACUACCUCCUAUCCAUAAUAAGUGUCGUUGUUUUGUUUAGCCCAGUUCAAAACUGCGGCACUUAUUUUGGAUCGGAGGGAGUACUUGAUAUAUUCCUGGUGAUAUUGUGUUGUACAUACAGAAAUGAUUAGGUGGCUGGUGGCUGGUGGUAUUGAAUGAACUUAAGGAUGUUGCAAUGCAAUGAAACGAAUAUUGUGUUGCUUGUGCUUUGUUUUCUGCCCAACUACUGGUGGCUGGUGGUAUUGAAUGAAACGAAUUCUCUUCGG